CAGUCGCCGCGGGAAUACAGAGGGUGCGAGCGUUAAUCGGAUCUACUGGGCGUAAAGCGUGCGUAGGCGGCUUCUUAAGUCGGAUGUGAAAUCCCUGAGCUUAACUUAGGAAUUGCAUUCGAUACUGGGAAGCUAGAGUAUGGGAGAGGAUGGUAGAAUUCCAGGUGUAGCGGUGAAAUGCGUAGAGAUCUGGAGGAAUACCGAUGGCGAAGGCAGCCAUCUGGCCUAAUACUGACGCUGAGGUACGAAAGCAUGGGAGCAAACAGGAUUAGAUACCCCUGUAGUCCCUGUCUCUUAUACA
rnacentral:rRNA from 1 species